rfam:Gossypium hirsutum cultivar TM-1 chromosome 22, whole genome shotgun sequence
AGACCAUGAUUAGGGCAUUUUUGUAUCAACAACUUAAACCACUCCCAAGCUUCGUGAAAAUUCUCUCCUUCCAUAUACUUGAAGUUUGUGAUCUCCCUUUUUAGUUG